rnacentral:rRNA from 1 species
AUUGAACGCUAGCGGGAUGCUUUACACAUGCAAGUCGAACGGCAGCGUGGACUUCGGUCUGGCGGCGAGUGGCGAACGGGUGAGUAAUGUAUCGGAACGUGCCCAGUAUCGGGGGAUAACUACGCGAAAGCGUAGCUAAUACCGCAUACGCUCUACUGGGGAAAGCAGGGGAUCGUAAGACCUUGCACUAUUGGAUCGGCCGAUAUCGGAUUAGCUAGUUGGUGAGGUAACGGCUCACCAAGGCGACGAUCCGUAGCUGGUUUGAGAGGACGACCAGCCACACUGGGACUGAGACACGGCCCAGACUCCGACGGGAGGCAGCAGUGGGGAAUUUUGGACAAUGGGGGCAACCCUGAUCCAGCCAUCCCGCGUGUGCGAUGAAGGCCUUCGGGUUGUAAAGCACUUUUGGCAGGAAAGAAACGUCGCGGGCUAAUACCCCGUGGAACUGACGGUACCUGCAGAAUAAGCACCGGCUAACUACGUG